rnacentral:rRNA from 1 species
UAAUACGGAGGAUCCAAGCGUUAUCCGGAUUUAUUGGGUUUAAAGGGUGCGCAGGCGGGGCGAUAAGUCAGUGGUGAAAUCCUACAGCUUAACUGUAGAACUGCCAUUGAAACUAUCGUUCUUGAGUACAGAUGAAGUGGGCGGAAUGUGUUAUGUAGCGGUGAAACGCAUAGAUAUAACACAGAACACCGAUUGCGAAGGCAGCUCACUAAGCUGAAACUGACGCUCAGGCACGAAAGCGUGGGGAGCAAACAGGAUUAGAUACCCUGGUAGUCCACGCCGUAAACGAUGAUUACUCGAUGUUGGCGAUACACAGUCAGCGUCCAAGCGAAAGUGAUAAGUAAUCCACCUGGGGAGUACGAUCGCAAGGUUG